rnacentral:rRNA from 1 species
GACAGAGGGUGCAAACGUUGCUCGGAAUCACUGGGCGUAAAGGGCGUGUAGGCGGGAAGGAAAGUCAGAUGUGAAAUCCCUGGGCUCAACCCAGGAACUGCAUUUGAAACUCCCUUUCUUGAGUACCGGAGAGGAAGGUGGAAUUCCUGGUGUAGAGGUGAAAUUCGUAGAUAUCAGGAGGAACACCGGUGGCGAAGGCGGCCUUCUGGACGGUAUCUGACGCUGAGACGCGAAAGCGUGGGGAGCAAACAGG